ensembl:lncRNA
GUAGAAUUGAAUUCUGUUUCAUACUAAACAAAUCAUAUAAUGAAUUGAAUUGUGUGAAUUGUUAUGGAUUUGCAAGAGUAAUACCAUACCAUAUUGGUAUUUUUUAAAUUUUCUUUACAGAAUCUGUAGAACAUUUCAAGUGCAAUUCAUUUAUACAGUUGGGUAUAUAAGUAUUUGGACAGUGACACAAUUUUCAUAAUUUUUCCCCCCUCUGUACAACGGCACAGUGAAUUGAAAUGACGCAAUCAACAUGCUACUAAGAGUAUUUUUAAUGCUUGGAUGCAAAUCCUUUGCAGUCAGUGAUUGCCUGAAGUCUGGAACCCAUGGACAUCACCAAAUGCUGAGUUUCCUCCCUGGAGAUGCUUUGCCAGGCUUUUACUAGAGCUGCCUUGGGUUGCUGUUUGUUUGUGGGUCUUUCUGCCUUCAGGUUUGUCUUACCUAAUGAUGGCCUCCUUCAAUUGCAUCAUCACCUCUUUGGACCACAUAUUGAGAGUUCCUAUGAACAGCUACCAAAGGCAAAUUCAACAUGUGGAAUCAACUCCAGACCUUUCAUCUCCUUAAUCAGUCAUGAAAUAAUGAGGAAACAGGCCACACCUGGCCAUGAAACUGCUUAUCAGUCAAUUGUCCAAUUACUUUUGGGCCUGUGAAAAUGGAUGGAGUCUGUGAAAAAUGGCUGUAAUUCCUAAACGGUUAAUGCAAUAGUUUUGUUAAACCCAUUGAAUUAACGCUGAAAGUCUACACUUCAGUCACAUCUUGAUUGCUUCAUUGGAAAUCCAUUGUGGUGGUGUACAGAGGCAAAAUUACGAACAUUGUGUCACUGGACCUGAUUGAAUGAUUUUCACAUAUAACACUCAUUUUCAAUGUAUUAUUUCUUUUCUUUUCUUUUUUUUUCAAUUUAGCACAAAAAUAAAACUUUUGGAAGACAUCAAGGAUCAAACAAUGGUCAUUUUCAUGUAAAAUGCCCUGACACUCCUCAUGUCAUCCUUUUGAAUGUAAUCAAUCUAUGGACGCACAUAAUCUGAUUCUUCUAACAGAUUCUUCUCAAUUCCUACCUUGAUGAAACGUCUGUAUGUUUCAAUGAGUAUUUAUAAGCUACUGUUUUCUUAGCGUGAUAAACCUCUAUGUAUGUGUAGUUUUUACAUGCCCAAUUGUAACGUUUAAAAAGCAGGGCAAUAAUGAUCUACUCAUAGGAUCUACAAGAGUUCUCGUUCUACUUCAUUCUUUGUGAAUUUUUUUACACAUUUGAAUUUUCUAGCCAUUCUAGGGUUUUAUGGUGUAAUUUCUCGAAAAUUGCCUCACACAAUGAUAUGGAAAGUGAAAGGCAU